AUUGGUUUAAGUUUUACUGCUGAAGAGCCCAUUAUCAAGUUUUUGUUGCCCAUAAUGAAAUUGCAGCCAAAGAUACCUGCUAUAUUAUGACAGAAUAUGGUUCCAUCAACAUUUUCCCCAAGCAGGUGUAGCUUUGGGACCUACUUCUCAUGUGCUGUGAUGGAUGUGAUCAAGCCAGUUCAUGUGCUGAGAAGGUCUUUCUAACAUCUGUGGGGUCAAUUUUGCAUCAGAGCCAGAAGGGAAUUGCUGUCAUUUCCAGUACAGGGCAGGAAGGAAAAAGUCAGCACAGAGUUGCUGUUAAUUCAGUGAAGAAACACUGCUGGAAUACACAAAAUGGACAGGGCAUAGAAUCUGGUUGCAGAGGGCAUACGGUUAUUUGAGUGGAAGGUACUGGACAUGAGAGAGACUUAAGGCUCCAUUUGUUAUUCUUUUUAAAUCGUUAUGCCUAAAUUAAGCAAAUCCACUUUGUGUACACAUUGUUACUUCUGGGGGAAUUCUGUGUACAAAAUUUUAAAGUUCUGCAACAUUCUGCAUAUUUUAUUUUUCA